rnacentral:rRNA from 1 species
ACGCUGGCGGCGUGCUUAACACAUGCAAGUCGAGCGGAAAGGCCCCUUCGGGGGUACUCGAGCGGCGAACGGGUGAGUAACACGUGGGUAACCUGCCCUCAGCUCUGGAAUAACCCCGGGAAACCGAGGCUAAUACCGGAUACGAGACGUGACCGCAUGGUCUGCGUGUAGAAAGAUUUAUCGGCUGAGGAUGGACUCGCGGCCUAUCAGCUAGUUGGUGGGGUAAUUGCCUACCAAGGCGACGACGGGUAGCCGGCCUGAGAGGGCGACCGGCCACACUGGGACUGAGACACGGCCCAGACUCCUACGGGAGGCAGCAGUGGGGAAUAUUGCGCAAUGGGCGAAAGCCUGACGCCAGCAACGCCGCGUGAGGGAUGACGGCCUUCGGGUUGUAAACCUCUUUCAGCGCCGACGAAGCCUUCGGGCGACUGUAGGCGCAGAAGAAGCACCGGCUAACUACGUGCCAGCCGCCGC